AUUGAAUAUAAAGCCCACAUUGUAGUUCCCUUCCCCACAUUCUCAAACCCUGCGAACUCGUUGCGGGAGUGCUGCUGUGAUUCCAAAUUCCAGUAUGGCUGACUCACCAUAUUUUAAAGAGGAAGAAGAAGAAGAACAGAUUGAAGAAGCUAAAUUUGGUAAUCAAUCUCUCUUUCUUAAUCUUAUUAUUUAUGUUUUGAUAGUUAAUUAUGCAAAUAGCAAGAUUAGAUAUGGUGGUUGGAUUCAAAAACUGCGUGAAUGUUUUUGAUUGCUGUAGGCUAUAGCAUUCCACACUAUAAUUUAAAUUUUAAGCGCUUGAGUCCUUCCUUGUUUGUCAUUAUCUUUGAUUCUUUUUUAUGUUGAUGAUUGAUGGUUUGAAAAAAGAAUGAUAGAUUUAUUUUCGUUGGAUCAAAAAAGUUGAACGAAGCACUGAAGUAGACUUUCCAGGUUUCCCAUUUUUACUUCUAUGCUGUACUUUUAUUGAAUGAAGAAAAAAGGAAUUGAUCCUUUCGAAUUUUAGUUUGAUCCAAGUGCUUCAAGUGAUUGUUGACUUGGGUUUAUACUUGUAAAAGUCUCAGUAGUUGUUUCUUAUCGUACUUGUAAAAGUCUCAGUACUUUCCACUAUUUAUGCAAGCUUUGUUUGAUUUGUUGGAAGGAGGGUCGGAUAUGGUCCGAUUCGAUUCAGUUCUUGUUAGAAUCAAAAGGACUGGAAAUUUUUGGGUA